AUGGGAGAUGUGCAUAGUGAAAAUCGCCAACUUCAGGCUCGUCUGAAGAGUGUUGUUUCUUUAGAGAGGAUGAAGGAGGCUUUGGAGAAGAAGGACUUGGACCUUGCUGCUGCUCAGAAGGAAGCACGUGAGAAGACGAAGCUUGCGGACCAGAAGCUGGCUUUAGUCGGCAAAUUGGAGGAGGAGAACGCGAAGUUGAAGACCACCAUCUUAGAAGCUAAUCAAGAAGUUGAGCAGCUGAGGAAGGACAAGGAGAACCUGACCACAAAAGUCGGCGGCCUCAGAGCCAAGACAGACAAGCUAGAGUCCUAUCUGGAACAACUUGCCGCGAAACUUAUUCUAAAGCUUGAAGGUAUGGUCAUUCAACUGGUCAAUUUGUCGUCGACUGAAGUUUGUUGUUAUAUUGUCGACUCAUCGUUUUUCGCGAUGGGACGGAACUAUGUCAGGACUUUGAAGCUGAAACCGGGAGGGUCAUGA
rnacentral:rRNA from 1 species